AUGACCGAUGGGCUGUAUCACGAUUGAACAUAAUGUUAUACUCAGACUUCAGAGUCCGGACCUAGAGCGGUGACAUUUGGAGGGCGGCAAAUGUUAACGAUUUUUUUUUUUACAAAAUUACAAAAAGUAUUUUUCAUUUGAUGAAAUCUUAUUUUACUGAUUUUGUGAGUGGACAAAUUAUUUUUAUACAAAGUUACAAAAAGUAUUUUUCAUUUGAUGAAACCAAAUUUUACUAAUUUUUUGAGUAGACAAAUUAUUUUUGUAUCGACCCGCUGUCGGUCACCGACAUUAUGCUCCAAGUUGUCGACGAACUCCUGGGACAACGGCUUGCUAACGAUUUUGGUCGCUUCGUCCGUAGUUCGUCGAAAACUUGGAGCAUGAGAGAGAUCGGUGGUGGACCGCGGUGACUCCAGGAUCUCGUCUUCAGCCAUCUCCAGUGCACGGAUAUUCGACUUGAUCUGCGUGUUCGUUGAAAAAUUCGAUACUGAAUGAAACAAAAAUGAGUUGAAGACAUUUCAAACUCUUAGAAUAGAUGCUGAAGUAAAAAAUCGGAGCAUUUUUACUACCCCAAAAGUUGAUGCCUGACAAAAAACACACAUCAUUGUAAAAUCAAAACAUCGCUACGUUCAGAAUCUAAAGUGAAAAAAAAAAUGUAGUAGCGGUAGUAGGUACAAGGUACUAUCCUAAAUUAUUAAUUGUAAAAUCUAUAAUAACUCGAUUAAUAAGGAUUUAUAUAAUUGAUCAAUAUUAUCUAAAUUAGGUAUAAUUUUCAGUCAUGUGUAGGUAGUUGAUUACUACUGAUUACUGAUUAGAUAUAGGUCAGGUCAGAGCAGGUCUACAUGAUUACUUCUACAUGAUUUCAUAAAACAUUUUAGUAGGUACCUAUCUAGUGUACUAGCGUAGUACCUGUAAUCUGUAUUAAUCAAUUAAUCAUUGAUGUAUCCAUCUACUAUAUGUAUAUAAAUAUAAUAUAUAAAUACCUAUAAAAAAAAUUUUAUUAUCAUUAUUAGGGAACGGAUUUGAAUGCAAAUUGCAUUUUUUUCUGAAUGUCCGAAAACAUUGGUU